GGAGCUGGAUGUAAGGUUCCCUAGAAUUGCUUAAUGUUCUCAGUGAUAUUAGUGGAGAUAGUUUUCUGUGCCACCUACAGUCAACAGAGCACCACCAUGAUGGGGAGGAUCUUGCUGGGGGUCUUGUGUCUCUCAGGCUGGAACAUCUCCUCAUGCCUUUCUCUUCAGUACCACUACGUAGCAGAUCCUAAGAACUGGACUGAAGCUCAGACCUACUGCAGAGAGAAGUACACAGACCUGGCCACUGUUGAAACCCCAGAAGAAAUGAAACAACUGAACAAGACUGUUUUAUCUUCUGGCAUUAACUUAGAGGUCUGGAUCGGUGUGUACAGAAAACUCUGGAAGUGGUCAGACAACUACACAAACAGUGGAGCUGAAUAUAGGAACUGGGGAAAUAAUAAUCGGAUUAUUAAUUACGAUUUUAAAUGCUACGUCCUUUUUCACAAUGGGGAAUGGUAUGGACAUGACUGCAUUAAUGCUGAAUCAUUCAUUUGCUACAGAGGAUCACAACAGAAUCCUGAAUUUGUUUAUGUCAGUGUUAAAAAGAAUUGGUCCAGUGCUCAGAGGUUCUGCAGGGAGAACUUCAUAGACCUGGCCACUGUGAAGAACCACAGUGAGAACCAGAACAUCCAGAGCUUGGUUCCUGAAUACACUUAUUCAUGGAUGGAUUGUACUGGGAUCCUGACACUUACUGGUCUGAUGGGAGUGGCUCAUCGUUCAGGUGGUUCAGUUAUGGAUAUGGAUACACAUUACACCCCAUGAGUGAAGUAUGUGGAGCAGCAGAUUUGGAGAAUUCAGGAAGAUGGUGGUUAUUAAACUGUGAAACUAAAUGUCCAUUUGUGUGCUACAGCGUCCGUUCAUCUGGUGAGUGAAACUGACCUUCAGUGGAGGAGUGAGAUUUAAGCAUUUCAUGAGAAUAACCAAUUCAAUUAAUUAAACUGUACUGACAUGUCCAAUAUGUAAGAUAUUUACUGAAUUAAAUUAAAAAGUGACCUUGUUAUAUUUUCAUACAUUAAGGAAACAUGUUAUGUUGAAGUGCUGUCCUCCUUCUAACUUUAGAUUCUGGUCCUGACUGAUCUGGAUUUGUAUGGACCAGAGAAGUAGGCAGUUUUCAGGCACCCCCACACGGCCGUUUUGCCACUCACCCCACAGUUAGCAGGCAAAGAGCAAACCAACAGGUUCAGAUAGAAGUGAUUUUACCCGACCUAAAAAGCCUCUGCAUGUUUCUAAUAAGUUCCACGAGCAGAAACGUGCUCAAACUAGGAUCAAUAUUGGAGAUGCUUUUGAAAAAUGGAGAGAGGUUAGAACACAGAAAGGUUUACAGACCGAUGCAGAGCUGGAUAAACACUGAAGCUUCAGUGUCCACCACAUGGCGACGUGUGAGCAUCGACUCUAGAUUGGAGUCGGGGGGGGGGGGGUUAGACAGCUCUCCCUGAAUGUAGUUAUGAAUUUGAACUGCAGUACCCAUUUUAAACACUAGGUGUCAGAGUUACACAUUGCUCGUAGAUCCUACCGAUUGUCUUUAUAAUUACUGGUGUGAAACUGUAAAGAAAUGAAUUUAUUUCUCAGGGAUACAAGCAGAAAAAAAUACAAACAUACAUAGAAAACAAGUUACAGAGGAGCUCCACACAUUUGCCCCCGUGACUUUAAAAGGUGUUUUCAAUUCAUGAGAUAAAACGAUACCGUUUCUUUUAUGCAGGCCCCUGUUUUAGCUAGUCAAGCUAAUAUAACACAUCAUGAGGGUGACGUUUUUCUUCUCUGUUCAUGUGCAGUAGUAAAGAGGCAGGUGAUAAAGCUGAGGAUGAAGCCAGAGAACUACUCUAUGGAUCUAAAUGACCCUGCUGUCAAAGCAGACAUCCUGAACAAGCUCCAGGACCGGCUGAAGAAGAAUGGACUGAGUGGAGUCACCCUGAAGUGGAGAGAGCAGCCUGAUGGGAAAGUUUUCCACAAGGAGAGGAAAAUGUCUAAGAAGAAGAAAAAAAGAGAAAAGACUGAACUGUGAAAGUGAAAUAUAGCUGUAUAGUCUAUCUGUAAUUAGAGAUGGGACAGAUCUGAUCUAAUAUCCGUAUCUAUAACUCAAGACCUACCUUUUUGGUCUGGCUUUUAACUGAAUCUCAUGUUAUCUCAUUUAGUUUUAUCUAUUAACAUAUUUUAUAUGAUAGUUUUUCAUUCUUUUAUUGUGUUGCUUUUGGCAUUUUAUUUUAUAACUUAUUACAUUUAUCUCUAGACUUGUGUGGCACAUUGCUGUGCUAUAAUUGUUUUUAGAUUUCUUCAUCCGUCUCUAUCACUUUUUCUAUAUUAUAGAGCCGCCUCUAUUAUAUCGUUCUCUCCUUGUUUUACAUGUCAUUAUGACGGUUUCUCCUGAUGUUUAGAGUCAUGUAAUUCAAGUUGUUAUGGUAAUCCUCCAGUCACUACAGGCUUUUUCCUGUUGGAGUUGUGUAUUCAUGUAUUUUUAUGUAUUUGGAUUAUCUAUCCAUAGGUAUGUGGACCUUCAAUAAGAAUGUCUUGCAUAGUUUAUAUUAUAUAUUUUUCCUGGUUUUGUACGACACGACCUGUCAGGUGACCUCAGAGGUUGUAUAUGUGGUGUGUCUAUUCACUUGUUCAUGUCUGAUGAAGGGCGAGGGCCGAAUCAUUACAUGAGGUGAUAUUUCCAUUAAAUUUCAUUUAAUUAGAGCAGCUUCUGGUGUGCGGACUUAAGUCUUUUUCCUACUUAAAUUAAAUACUCAGAUAUUGGUGCAUUUAGCAAAAAUACAUCAACUGCACAGUAAACAAUAAUACAACAGGUCAGCCAAUAAGAAGAAAGCACAGCUACAAUGCAUUUAAAAAAAAACUUUGUAGUAUGCAAAUAGCAAUGCACACAGGCUACAGCCACAGACAGCCUACAACAAUGAGGUCUCCAGAGUAUGAGAAGCACACAGCUUCAGUUUGAAAGUGCAAAGAAAAUAUGACACACCUUAAAUACGGAAAGAGUAAAACAGGUCCGCCAAAAAAAAUGAUAACGGCACAACUACAAUGCAACAACAGAAAUUGGAAAGCUCACUGCACACAGCCUCAGUGCAUAUUAUAGCAAUAACCUCAGCAGAGAAAGCACAGAGCUGCAGUGCAAAAAAAAAGAUGACAUCACAAGAAUAUAAAUCCAGAGUGCAUUUCACAAUGCUUUCCCCAGAACAUGACAUUAUGAGGUUCGACCAGUUGAGAACCACUGCUUUAGAAUAUAUGCAAACAGCAUCAGGGCAUAUUAUAAAACUUGGAUUAUUCAAAAAGCACUGCACAGCCACAGAGAGUUUUAAAAUAGUUAUUAGAAUACUGCUACAGAGCACAUCACAAUAAAGUCACCACCAGGAAUAUGAAAUGUGCAAUCCCCAUCUGUUCAUAUUGCAAUAGUGGAUAUGCAAAAAGCAAUGCACAUACAACUACAGUGCAAGAGAAAUAAACAGAUCCUCAAUUCACAAGCCAUAGUCUCUGUCGGAUUGUUCAAGAGCAUUUACUCUUCUACACCUUCAGCCGUUGAUUUCAAGGUAGAGGAUAAGGGCCAAAUAAAUAAUUAGUUUUUUUCACUAUGCACUUAGAAAAUAAAAGACGAAAUUGGAAAACUAAGUCAAAAUGUCUAGAAAGAAGUCCAUAUAUAUAAAAACAUUGUUUUAAAUCCAAUUUCAAGAAUAAAGUAAAAAUGUUGAGAAUUAAGCUGAAAUAAUUUCUUUUUGACUCUUUCUUUUUGAAAUC